GACAGAGGGUGCAAACGUUGCUCGGAAUCACUGGGCGUAAAGGGCGUGUAGGCGGGCAGGUAAGUCGGGCGUGAAAUCCCUGAGCUCAACUCAGGAACUGCACUCGAAACUACUUGUCUUGAGUACCGGAGAGGAAAGCGGAAUUCCAGGUGUAGCGGUGAAAUGCGUAGAUAUCUGGAAGAACACCGGUGGCGCAAGCGGAUUGCUGGGCCAUAACUGACACUGAGGAACGAAAGCUAGGGGAGCGAAUGGG
rnacentral:rRNA from 1 species